rnacentral:rRNA from 1 species
AGAGUUUGAUCAUGGCUCAGGAUAAACGCUGGCGGCGCACAUAAGACAUGCAAGUCGAACGAACUUAACCAUUAGUUUACUAUUGGAGCGGUUAGUGGCGGACUGGUGAGUAACACGUAAGCAACCUGCCUAUCAGAGGGGAACAACAGUUAGAAAUGACUGCUAAUACCGCAUAUGCCUUAGAAUCACAUGGUUACAAAAAGGGGAAAGGAGCAAUCCACUGAUAGAUGGGCUUGCGU